rnacentral:rRNA from 1 species
GACGAACGCUGGCGGCGUGCUUAACACAUGCAAGUCGAACGGGAUGAUUUAGAAGCUUGCUUUUAGAGAAUCUAGUGGCAAACGGGUGAGUAACACGUAGACAACCUGCCGACAGGAUGGGGACAACAUUCCGAAAGGAAUGCUAAUACCGAAUGAAGUCAGAGAAGGGCAUCCUUUUCUGAUGAAAGAUGGCCUCUGAAUAUGCUAUCACCUGUCGAUGGGUCUGCGUCUGAUUAGCUGGUUGGUGAGGUAACGGCUCACCAAGGCGACGAUCAGUAGCCGGUCUGAGAGGAUGAACGGCCACAUUGGGACUGAGACACGGCCCAGACUCCUACGGGAGGCAGCAGUGGGGAAUCUUCCGCAAUGGGCGCAAGCCUGACGGAGCAACGCCGCGUGAGUGAAGAAGGUCUUCGGAUCGUAAAGCUCUGUUGAUGGGGACGAAUGUACGGAGUGCGAAUAGUGCUCUGUAAUGACG